rnacentral:lncRNA from 1 species
CAGUUACUAUUCCAUCAUCUAAAUAUCUUUCUAACAGCUGUUCAUACAAGGAGUAAAACUGCAAGCUGUUGAGAUGUGCAAUAUUACUGAAGCUCAGAUGACAUGGAAUAUACCGGAUAGACUGGAUUGAUGUGCCAAGGCAAACUGUAUCUGCAACUCAACAACAUGAUAUGAUGCUGAGAUACUUUCCUCCCUGUGAAGCUCUCUGGAAAACUGAGAAAUUCUGUUGGAAAUUUUAGAGGAGGAGGCAGGAAGGUUUCAGUAUGAAUUGCCAGGAGCUCGCUGUUCUGGAAAUCCUGAAGUCUCAGUUGAGUGCUCCAGUGCUUUGGCUUUACUUCCAGCAGUGGCAUUCAACCCUUGCAGAUGAACUGCAGACUGCUGUUCCGCUGAUUCAUCUGCACUCUUGUUGUCCAUAGUAUUCAGACUGUAGAAGUCACUCUAGCCUGGAGAAAUGAAAAAACCUGCAAGAGAAGACUGCUUUAGUCAUGUUAGUAGUUCUAUAACAGUUAGUUUCCUAAAGGAGGAAAAGAUGAUAUUACUCCCAGUGACUUUUCUUUAACAGGUAAUUCAGUAAGUUUACUGUAAAGCAGAAUAGAAAAGUAACAAGCCACAUGGCUGGGCAGAAUCCUAACUCUUGAAAGAAAGGUAAAGGAAUAGCAGCACAUGUGAAAUAUACAAUAAAGUUCUUGCUGUACUUCA